GAUGCAACUCCGCCUGUAUUGAAACAGCCGGUCCCAAGCCCGGAUAAAGGAGGAGGGUUAA
rnacentral:ribozyme from 3 species